rnacentral:rRNA from 1 species
AAUUUUGGACAAUGGGCGCAAGCCUGAUCCAGCCAUGCCGCGUGAGUGAAGAAGGCCUUCGGGUUGUAAAGCUCUUUCGGACGGAAAGAAAUCGCGCAGGCUAAUACCCUGAGCGGAUGACGGGACCGUCAUAAGUAUCACCGGCUAACUACGUACCAGCAGCUGCCGUAAUAUGUAGGGUGCGAGCGUUAUGCGGAAAUACUGGGCGUAAAGCGUGAGCAGGCGGUUGAUUAAGACAGGCAUGACAUCCCCGGGCUUAACCUGGGAACUGCGCUUGUGACUAGUCAGCUAGAGUACGGCAGAGGGGGGUGGAAUUCCACGUGUAGCAGUGAAAUGCGUAGAGAUGUGGAGGAACACCGAUGGCGAAGGCAGCCCCCUGGGCCGAUACUGACGCUCAUGCACGAAAGCGUGGGUAGCAAACAGG